rnacentral:rRNA from 1 species
UACGGAGGGGGCGAGCGUUGUCCGGAUUUAUUGGGCGUAAAGAGCGUGUAGGCGGCCAGGUAGGUCUGCUGUGAAAACUCGAGGCUCAACCUCGAGACGUCGGCGGAAACCAUCUGGCUAGAGUCCGGAAGAGGAGAGUGGAAUUCCUGGUGUAGCGGUGAAAUGCGCAGAUAUCAGGAAGAACACCCGUGGCGAAGGCGGCUCUCUGGGACGGUACUGACGCUGAGACGCGAAAGCGUGGGGAGCGAACAGG